AUUACAAUUUGGUUAGAGCUAUUGAGCUCAUUGUUUAUGUAGAAAGCUUCACACUUUAGCGAGGAAUGGAAACUUUCUAUAGGGGCGUUAUCAGC
rnacentral:antisense_RNA from 1 species